UCAAUUGUCAGAUAAAAUAAGACAAAUUCUCAAAUUGACAAGUUGAGACAAUUGACAAGACAAGUAUACAUACAACUGUCAUUUUUAAAUCGUUUAUGUUUCGUGAGUCAAAAGUCAUUGUUUUUGCUAACAGAGCUGGAUGCUAAUUCAAUUCUUUCCAUAAUUCUUUUUUACAACUAUUUUAUUUUAUGAUAAUAUUGCAAAGGUUAAAUAAAUGUGAAAUGUCAACUCAGCUAUUUCAAAUAUAAAACAGCAUAUACUUAAUAUGAAUAACGUGGCAGCGUCGUAGAAAAUAACAUGCCAAAACGUAAAUAAUUUUAACAUAUUAAUACUACACUAUUGAAAUGCAUGAUAGCCUAUUUGGGAAUAGAACAGUCUGCCGAGACGAAUUUCCGCAGAUUCAAAACUCAAGGUACACACCUCCGACGUUUUGAAGCCAUGUGUGUAUUUUUUAUCAAUUAUCGUUCACUUUAACGGUGAAGAAAAACAUCGUGUGUAAAUCAAAACAGCUGUGAGUUCUUCAUAAGUAUUAAGAGAGUAUGUGAGGUCUGCUAACCGGCUUUAAGCAUCCAAAGUUAUUACAUUGUAUAGUAGAUGAGGCCUGUGCUUACCAGUGGGCAGUUUACAGUGUGUACUACAAGCCUCUCCGGAUUUCGGCCACGGCGGUCAAUAUCAACGAAGAUCAGCAUGGUACGAAGGAGAUAUUAUAGUGCCUAAGUGUGUGCGCAAUACACAGGAUUCGAACCCAGGAUUUCACCGUAGACAAUUACAACUACGCCGAAGCAUUCAAUUACGAGUUAUGU